ACUCAAAUGAAUUGACGGGGGCCCGCACAAGCAGCGGAGCGUGUGGUUUAAUUCGAUGCGACACGAAGAACCUUACCUAGGUUUGACAUGCAAGUAGUAGUGAAGCGAAAGCGGAACGACCCUUCGGGGAGCUUGCACAGGUGCUGCAUGGCUGUCGUCAGCUCGUGUCGUGAGAUGUUGGGUUAAGUCCCGCAACGAGCGCAACCCUUGUCGCUAGUUACACGUGUCUAGCGAUACUGCCGGUCUUAAACCGGAGGAAGGUGGGGAUGACGUCAAGUCAGCAUGGCCUUUAUAUCUAGGGCUACACACACGCUACAAUGGGCAGUACAAUGGGCAGCAAAGGGGCGACCUGGAGCGAAUCUCAUCAAAGCUGUUCGUAGUUCGGAUUGUAGGCUGCAACUCGCCUACAUGAAGCUGGAGUUGCUAGUAAACGCAGGUCAGCUAUACUGCGUUGAAUACGUUCCCGGGCCUUGUACACACCGCCCGU
rnacentral:rRNA from 1 species